rnacentral:rRNA from 1 species
AGUGAACGCUGGCGGUAGGCCUAACACAUGCAAGUCGAACGGCAGCACAGUAAGAGCUUGCUCUUACGGGUGGCGAGUGGCGGACGGGUGAGGAAUACAUCGGAAUCUACUUUUUCGUGGGGGAUAACGUAGGGAAACUUACGCUAAUACCGCAUACGACCUACGGGUGAAAGCAGGGGAUCUUCGGACCUUGCGCGAUUGAAUGAGCCGAUGUCGGAUUAGCUAGUUGGCGGGGUAAAGGCCCACCAAGGCGACGAUCCGUAGCUGGUCUGAGAGGAUGGUCGGCCACACUGGAACGGAGACAGCGUCCAGACUCCUGCGGGAGGGAGCAGUGGGGAAUAUUGGACAAUGGUCGCAAGCCUGAUCCAGCCAUACCGCGUGGGUGAAGAAGGCCUUCGGGUUGUAAAGCCCUUUUGUUGGGAAAGAAAAGCAGCAGGUUAAUACCCCGCUGUUCUGACGGUACCCAAAGAAUAAGCACCGGCUAACUUCGUG